UACGUAGGGUGCGAGCGUUGUCCGGAAUUAUUGGGCGUAAAGGGCUCGUAGGCGGUUUGUCGCGUCGGGAGUGAAAACCUCGGGCUUAACUCGGGGCUUGCUUUCGAUACGGGCAGACUAGAGGUAUGCAGGGGAGAACGGAAUUCCUGGUGUAGCGGUGAAAUGCGCAGAUAUCAGGAGGAACACCGGUGGCGAAGGCGGUUCUCUGGGCCUUACCUGACGCUCAGGUGCGAAAGCUAGGGGAGCGAACAGG
rnacentral:rRNA from 1 species